AUAAUGGGUCAGCGACUUAUAUUCUGUAGCAAGGUUAACCGAAUAGGGGAGCCGAAGGGAAACCGAGUCUUAACUGGGCGUUAAGUUGCAGGGUAUAGACCCGAAACCCGGUGAUCUAGCCAUGGGCAGGUUGAAGGUUGGGUAACACUAACUGGAGGACCGAACCGACUAAUGUUGAAAAAUUAGCGGAUGACUUGUGGCUGGGGGUGAAAGGCCAAUCAAACCGGGAGAUAGCUGGUUCUCCCCGAAAGCUAUUUAGGUAGCGCCUCGUGAAUUCAUCUCCGGGGGUAGAGCACUGUUUCGGCAAGGGGGUCAUCCCGACUUACCAACCCGAUGCAAACUGCGAAUACCGGAGAAUGUUAUCACGGGAGACACACGGCGGGUGCUAACGUCCGUCGUGAAGAGGGAAACAACCCAGACCGCCAGCUAAGGUCCCAAAGUCAUGGUUAAGUGGGAAACGAUGUGGGAAGGCCCAGACAGCCAGGAUGUUGGCUUAGAAGCAGCCAUCAUUUAAAGAAAGCGUAAUAGCUCACUGGUCGAGUCGGCCUGCGCGGAAGAUGUAACGGGGCUAAACCAUGCACCGAAGCUGCGGCAGCGACGCUGAU
rnacentral:rRNA from 1 species